rnacentral:tRNA from 1 species
GAGGUCUUACCUUAACGAAAGGACUUGAGUUGCAUUCAGGAUAUGUGAGAUUAAGCCCCACAGACCUUA